rnacentral:rRNA from 1 species
CCGGGUCCGGACGUAUCGAGGAUUGACAGAUAGUUAUACAUGCCCUACAAGCAAGUAGGAGUCAGGUUUUAAACCUAAUGGCUCUUUCAUGAUUAUAUGAUAGGUGGUGCAUGGCCGUUCUUAGUUCGUGGAGUGAUCUGUCUGCUUAAUUGCGUUUCAAAUUUUUAACCGAGGACCGGGUUUUGGUUUGGCUAGUGGUCCUACGAUGACUGUGAACUGUCAUGUCUUCGGAUGUACGACUAUCGGUCUAGGAUCACAUGACUUGCCCCUGGGACUCUUUUGAACGCAACGGACGUGAUUGCAACCCCUUGUUGAGAUUAGAGAUAGUCUCGAUAUUCACUGGCCAAACUGGCUGCUUUAUGCAGUCUUGUUGAAUGGUGGAUAAACUCGGGGGACUGCUGACUAUAACCAUUUCUCAAAACAGAGGAAGGUUGCGGCAAUAACAGGUCUGUGAUGCCCUCAGAUGUCCCGGGCUGCACACGUGCUACAAUGAGUGGCGCAAUGUGCUAAUGUUUUAAGGGAUAAGCGUGCGGCCAGUAGAACGUCGGCAAUUGCCCUGGCGUCUUCUACCGCACGAUUAUCAGCCUUCCCUUAACAGGGCGGGCAACCUUUUCAAAAUACCGGUUUGAUG